GACGAACGCUGGCGGCGUGCUUAACACAUGCAAGUCGAACGGAAAGGCCCUGCUUUUGUGGGGUGCUCGAGUGGCGAACGGGUGAGUAACACGUGAGUAACCUGCCCUUGACUUUGGGAUAACUUCAGGAAACUGGGGCUAAUACCGGAUCGGAGCUCCUGCUGCAUGGUGGGGGUUGGAAAGUUUCGGCGGUUGGGGAUGGACUCGCGGCUUAUCAGCUUGUUGGUGGGGUAGUGGCUUACCAAGGCUUUGACGGGUAGCCGGCCUGGGAGGGUGACCGGCCACAAUGGGACUGAGGGACGGCCCAGACUCCUACGGGGGGCAGCAGGGGGGAAUAUUGCACAAUGGGCGGGAGCCUGAUGCAGCAACGCCGCGUGUGGGAUGACGGCCUUCGGGUUGUAAACCGCUUUCGCCUGAGACGAAGCGUGAGUGACGGUAAUGGGUAAAGAAGCACCGGCUAACUACGUG
rnacentral:rRNA from 1 species